rnacentral:misc_RNA from 1 species
AAGUUGUAACAAGGUUUCCGUAGGUGAACCUGCGGAAGGAUCAUUAACAAAUCCUGUGCUGCGCGGGGUAAAGCCCGCACAGUAUAUUAGACUGGCGAGUGCCGCGAGGUGCUUGCCUUUCAAAAAUUCAUGUGUGUAAUGUGUAGACAAAGUGUGAUACUAUAAUAAUUAUAUGACAACUUUUAACAAUGGAUCUCUAGGCUCUU